CAAGGACUGCAGUGUCUCAUAUGAUGCAAUUGGACGGAACCUCAAGACGACAUUUGCUCCCAGCAAAGGGCAUUCAGCAGAACAAGGACCAAUCAGAAUUCAUCCAACAAUCAUUUUCAGUGUCAUCUAAGACUGGCAGUCUGCCAAGUUCUAUUGAGGGAGCUGGGGAAAGACAGCAAGCAAGCCCCAGUCCUACCAGCAAGGUGUUACAGACAGUGGGCGUCUGAAAAACAACAGAGAAAUGGACAAGGAGGUAACAGAAUGGCAGGGAGUGAGAAGCGUUACGCAGAAAGACAAAGAAUGGUGAAGAGACAGGAGGUGGAAGAGAUGGAAGGUGCCUUUUCAGAUGAGAUGCUUGCUGGAGGAUGGUAUCCUGAGGAGAUGAUGUUUGAGCAGUGGUCUGAUUGAAGUGAGU
rnacentral:lncRNA from 10 species